UACGGAGGGUGCAAGCGUUAUCCGGAUUCACUGGGCUUAAAGGGCGCGUAGGUGGGUUGGUAAGUCAGUGGUGAAAUCCCCGAGCUUAACUUGGGAACUGCCAUUGAUACUAUCAGUCUUGAAUACUGUGGAGGUUAGCGGAAUAUGUCAUGUAGCGGUGAAAUGCUUAGAUAUGACAUAGAACACCAAUUGCGAAGGCAGCUGGCUGGACAAUUAUUGACACUGAGGCUCGAAAGCGUGGGGAUCAAACAGG
rnacentral:rRNA from 1 species